UACGUAGGGUGCAAGCGUUGUCCGGAAUUAUUGGGCGUAAAGAGCUCGUAGGCGGUUUGUCGUGUCGGCUGUGAAAACUCGGGGCUCAACCCCGAGCCUGCAGUCGAUACGGGCAAACUAGAGUGCUGUAGGGGAGACUGGAAUUCCUGGUGUAGCGGUGAAAUGCGCAGAUAUCAGGAGGAACACCGGUGGCGAAGGCGGAUCUCUGGGCCAUUACUGACGCUGAGGAGCGAAAGCGUGGGGAGCGAACAGG
rnacentral:rRNA from 1 species